rnacentral:rRNA from 1 species
ACAUAGGUAGUUACGUCCAGUAUGUCCCCCCUCGAUUCCCGACAUGCUAUGAUACCAGGGUGGGUAGGAGCGGGUCGAGUCCGUAUCACCGCGGAACAACUGCAGCGUCCGGAUCUGAUCUAUCUACUCGGCAAUUCAUCCGGUGACUUCACGGUCGCCAAAGAAGCCCCAAGAAGCAUCAAACAUUUCCGAUGA